rnacentral:rRNA from 1 species
GCUUGUCUCAAAGAUUAAGCCAUGCAUGUGUAAGUAUAAAUAACUCUAUACUAUGAAACUGCGAAUGGCUCAUUAUAUCAGUUAUAGUUUAUUUGAUAAUACUUUACUACUAGGAUAACCGUAGUAAUUCUAGAGCUAAUACAUGCUAUCAAGCCCGACUUCUUGAAGGGUUGUAUUUAUUAGACUUAAGCCAAUAUUCCUUGUGUCUAUUGCGAUGAUUCAUAAUAACUGAUCGAAUCUCAAAUUUGAGAUAAAUCAUUCAAGUUUCUGCCCUAUCAGCUUUCGAUGGUAGUGUAUUGGACUACCAUGGCAGUAACGGGUAACGAAGAAUUAGGGUUCGAUUUCGGAGAGGGAGCAUGAGAAACGGCUACCACAUCUAAGGAAGGCAGCAGG